GACGAACGCUGGCGGCGUGCUUAACACAUGCAAGUCGAACGGAAAGGCCCUGCUUUUGUGGGGUGCUCGAGUGGCGAACGGGUGAGUAACACGUGAGUAACCUGCCCUUGACUUUGGGAUAACUUCAGGAAACUGGGGCUAAUACCGGAUAGGAGCUCCUGCUGCAUGGUGGGGGUUGGAAAGUUUCGGCGGUUGGGGAUGGACUCGCGGCUUAUCAGCUUGUUGGUGGGGUAGUGGCUUACCAAGGCUUUGACGGGUAGCCGGCCUGAGAGGGUGACCGGCCACAGUGGGACUGAGAUACGGACCAGACUCCUACGGGAGGCAGCAGUGGGGAGUAUUGCACAAUGGGCGGAAGCCUGUUGCAGCAACGCCGCGUGCGGGAUGACGGCCUUCGGGUUGUAAACCGCUUUCGCCUGUGACGAAGCGUGAGUGACGGUAAUGGGUAAAGAAGCAGCGGCUAGCUACGUG
rnacentral:rRNA from 1 species